GUCUAUGGCCAUGCUACCCUGAACAAGCCCGAUCCCGUCUGACCUUAAAAGCUAAGCAGGGUCACGUCUGGUUAGUACUUGGAUGAGAGACCACCUAGGAAAACCAGGUGCUGUAGGUG
rnacentral:rRNA from 1 species